AUUGAACGCUGGCGGCAGGCCUAACACAUGCACGUCGAACGAGUGGCGGACGGGUGAGUAAUGUCUGGGAAACUGCCUGAUGGAGGGGGCUAACUACUGGAAACGGUAGCUAAUACCGCAUACCAUCGGAUGUGCCCAGAUGGGAUUAGCUAGUCGGUGGGGUAACGGCUCACCUAGUCGACAAUCCCUAGCUGGUCUGAGAGGAUGACCAGAAACACUGUAACUGAGACCCGGCCCAGACUCCUACGGGAGGCAGCAGUGGGGAAUAGUGCACAAUGGGCGCAAGCCUGAUGCAGCCAUGCCUCGUGUAUGAAGAAGGCCUUCGGGUUGUAAAGUACUUUCAGCGGGGAGGCGUUACCCGCAGAAGAAGCACCGGCUAACUCCGUGCCAGCAGACGCGGUAAUAC
rnacentral:rRNA from 1 species